rnacentral:rRNA from 1 species
AACGAACGCUGGCGGCGUGCCUAACACAUGCAAGUCGUGCGAGAAAGUUCCUUCGGGAGCGAGUAAAAGCGGCGCACGGGGUGAGUAACACGUAGGUAACCUGCCCCCCAGUCUGGAACAACUAGAGGAAACUCUAGCUAAUGCCGGAUGAGACCACGAUCCCUUCGGGGGUUGCGGCCAAAGAUGGCCUCUACUUGUAAGCUAUCGCUGAGGGAUGGGCCUGCGGGCCAUUAGCUUGUUGGUGAGGUAACGGCUCACCAAGGCUGUGAUGGCUAGCUGGUCUGAGAGGAUGACCAGCCACACUGGGACUGAGACACGGCCCAGACUCCUACGGGAGGCAGCAGUGGGGAAUAUUGCGCAA